CCUUUGUACACACCGCCCGUCGCUACUACCGAUUGAAUGACUCAGUGAGGCGUCCGGACUGGCCUAGAGAGGUGGGCAACUACCACUCAGGGCCGGAAAGUUCUCCAAACUCGGUUAUUUAGAGG
rnacentral:rRNA from 1 species